rnacentral:rRNA from 1 species
GUGUCAGCCGCCGCGGUAAGACAGAGGGGGCAAGCGUUGCUCGGAAUUACUGGGCGUAAAGGGCGCGUAGGCGGGAUGGCAAGUCGGUUGUGAAAUCCUUCGGCUCAACCGAAGAACGUCGAUCGAUACUGCCAUUCUUGAGGGAUGCAGAGGAGACUGGAAUUCCCGGUGUAGCGGUGAAAUGUGUAGAGAUCGGGAGGAACACCGGUGGCGAAGGCGGGUCUCUGGGCAUCUCCUGACGCUGAGGCGCGAAAGCGUGGGGAGCAAACGGGAUUAGAUACCCCGGUAGUCC